CGUGUAGGCGGUAUCAUAAGUCAGUGGUGAAAGACGGUCGCUCAACGAUUGCAGUGCCAUUGAUACUGGUAGACUUGAGUGUGAUUGAGGUAGCUGGAAUGGAUAGUGUAGCGGUGAAAUGCAUAGAUAUUAUCCAGAACACCGAUUGCGAAGGCAGGUUACUAAGUCAUAACUGACGCUGAGGCACGAAAGUGUGGGGAUCAAACAGGAUUAGAUACCCUGGUA
rnacentral:rRNA from 1 species